rnacentral:tRNA from 5 species
GGGCGAUUAACUCAGCGGGAGAGUGCCUCCCUUACAAGGAGGAAGUCGGGGGUUCAAAUCCCUCAUCGCCCACCA